AAACUGCGAUAAGUAGUGUGAAUUGCAUUUAGUGAAUCAUCGAAUCUUUGAACGCACCUUGCACUCACUGGUAUUCCGGUGAGUACGCCUGUUUCAGUAUCAUUGAAAACACACAAUCAAAACAUUUUCUUUGGUUUGAUUGGCUUUGGGUCUAUCAAAAAGUUUGGCUUGUUUCUUACAAGCCAAGCGGCCUGAAAUAUAUUGUCUGGCUAAUUGCAUCGUUGAUGAUCGCUAUUAGACUUUGGCUUUUUUAAAUGAACUGGAGGUUGAUUAACCAGUUUUAGCUUUAGUCAAAUGGUCAUUGUAAAAAAAAAUCUCGAUCUUGGCUAGGUGUUUAUAGCCGAAAAUUUUUUUUUGGCUAUAACCGAAACCAAUAUAAUCACAUUUAGUUAUCGAUCUGAAAUCAGGUGGGACUACCCGCUGAACUUAAGC
rnacentral:misc_RNA from 1 species